UUUAACACCAGAGGACAGUGGGAACUACACCUGUGAGUGUUCACAUCUGUAUGGAACCGAUAUUCUCCAUCUGAAUAUCACUGUGGAAGAGGAUGAAGACGACCGCAGAUUUGCAGAAAUACCAUUUCCAAGUGCUUUAAUUGGUGUAACUACGUUUAUCGUUAUAACUGGAUUUAUCCUGGGAUUUAUCCACAGAAAAAAUCACCACAGAAAACAACUGGAACUACAGCACAGUCAUCAG